GCCCUCUCAGGAUCACAUCUGGAGAGUUUCCAGUAAUCUACCAGCCUUGGCUAUGGUAGGGAAAGUCAAGCAGAGGUAUACCCACUCGAUUCCUAGCUUGGGCAGGGGCUAGCAAAUGGAAGGCAAUCUGCUACAAGU